CCUAGGGGGGGCAGCAGUGGGGAAUAUUGGACAAUGGGCGAAAGCCUGAUCCAGCCAUGCCGCGUGUGUGAAGAAGGCCUUCGGGUUGUAAAGCACUUUCAGUGGGGAAGAAAGCCUUGGGGCUAAUACCCUCGAGGAAGGACAUCACCCACAGAAGAAGCACCGGCUAACUCCGUGCCAGCAGCCGCGGUAAUACGGAGGGUGCGAGCGUUAAUCGGAAUUACUGGGCGUAAAGCGCGCGUAGGCGGUCUGAUAAGCCGGUUGUGAAAGCCCCGGGCUCAACCUGGGAACGGCAUCCGGAACUGUCAGGCUAGAGUGCAGGAGAGGAAGGUAGAAUUCCCGGUGUAGCGGUGAAAUGCGUAGAGAUCGGGAGGAAUACCAGUGGCGAAGGGGGCCUUCUGGACUGACACUGACGCUGAGGUGCGAAAGCGUGGGUAGCAAACAGGAUUAGAUACCCCUGUAGUC
rnacentral:rRNA from 1 species